CAGUAGCCGCGGUAAUACAGAGGGUGCGAGCGUUAAUCGGAUUUACUGGGCGUAAAGCGUGCGUAGGCGGCUUCUUAAGUCGGAUGUGAAAUCCCUGAGCUUAACUUAGGAAUUGCAUUCGAUACUGGGAAGCUAGAGUAUGGGAGAGGAUGGUAAAAUUCCAGGUGUAGCGGUGAAAUGCGUAGAGAUCUGGAGGAAUACCGAUGGCGAAGGCAGCCAUCUGGCCUAAUACUGACGCUGAGGUACGAAAGCAUGGGGAGCAAACAGGAUUAGAUACCCGAGUAGUCCCUGUCUCUUAUAC
rnacentral:rRNA from 1 species